CACUGAUGAGACAAACCUUAAAAGAGCUGGAAUUACCGUCAGAUUGUUGGUGGUGAUAAAGGUUGAUCUGAGC